rnacentral:rRNA from 1 species
UUUUGUUUGGAGAGUUUGAUCCUGGCUCAGGACGAACGCUGGCGGCGUGCUUAACACAUGCAAGUCGAACGGAAAGGCCCCUUUUUUGGGGUGCUCGAGUGGCGAACGGGUGAGUAACACGUGGGUGACCUGCCCUGCACUUCGGGAUAAGCCUGGGAAACUGGGUCUAAUACCGGAUAGGACCAUUCUGCGCAUGUGGGGUGGUGGAAAGCGUUUGGUAGCGGUGUGGGAUGGGCCCGCGGCCUAUCAGCUUGUUGGUGGGGUGAUGGCCUACCAAGGCGACGACGGGUAGCCGGCCUGAGAGGGUGUCCGGCCACACUGGGACUGAGAUACGGCCCAGACUCCUACGGGAGGCAGCAGUGGGGAAUAUUGCACAAUGGGCGCAAGCCUGAUGCAGCGACGCCGCGUGGGGGAUGACGGCCUUCGGGUUGUAAACCUCUUUCAGCCUCGACGAAGCUGCGGGUUUUCUCGUGGUGACGGUAGGGGCAGAAGAAGCACCGGCCAACUACGUGCCAGCAGCCGCGGUAAUACGUAGGGUGCAAGCGUUGUCCGGAAUUACUGGGCGUAAAGAGCUCGUAGGCGGCUUGUCGCGUUGUUCGUGGAAUGCCACAGCUUAACUGUGGGCGUGCGGGCGAUACGGGCAGGCUGGAGUGCUGCAGGGGAGACUGGAAUUCCUGGUGUAGCGGUGGAAUGCGCAGAUAUCAGGAGGAACACCGGUGGCGAAGGCGGGUCUCUGGGCAGUAACUGACGCUGAGGAGCGAAAGCGUGGGGAGCGAACAGGAUUAGAUACCCUGGUAGUCCACGCCGUAAACGGUGGGUACUAGGUGUGGGUUCUUUCCUGAAGGAUCCGUGCCGUAGCUAACGCAUUAAGUACCCCGCCUGGGGAGUACGGCCGCAAGGCUAAAACUCAAAGGAAUUGACGGGGGCCCGCACAAGCGGCGGAGCAUGUGGAUUAAUUCGAUGCAACGCGAAGAACCUUACCUGGGUUUGACAUGCACAGGACGGUCGUAGAGAUACGGCUUCCCUUGUGGCCUGUGUGCAGGUGGUGCAUGGCUGUCGUCAGCUCGUGUCGUGAGAUGUUGGGUUAAGUCCCGCAACGAGCGCAACCCUUGUCCCAUGUUGCCAGCACGUGAUGGUGGGGACUCAUGGGAGACUGCCGGGGUCAACUCGGAGGAAGGUGGGGAUGACGUCAAGUCAUCAUGCCCCUUAUGUCCAGGGCUUCACACAUGCUACAAUGGCCGGUACAAAGGGCUGCGAUGCCGUGAGGUUAAGCGAAUCCUUGGAAAGCCGGUCUCAGUUCGGAUCGGGGUCUGCAACUCGACCCCGUGAAGUCGGAGUCGCUAGUAAUCGCAGAUCAGCAAUGCUGCGGUGAAUACGUUCCCGGGCCUUGUACACACCGCCCGUCACGUCAUGAAAGUCGGUAACACCCGAAGCCGCUGGCCUAACCCCGUUUGGGGAGGGAGGCGUCGAAGGUGGGAUCGGCGAUUGGGACGAAGUCGUAACAAGGUAGCCGUACCGGAAGGUGCGGCUGGAUCACCUCCUUUCUAGGGAG